ensembl:lncRNA novel transcript
CCUUUCUGAAUCUUCCCCGCCUGCCAUCGAGGGCAGAUGUGGGUGCCUGCUGUGAUGCGACCGAGGAAUGUCCUGGAAGAAGGUGCCCACUGGGGAGUGAGACAGGGAUUUCUGGAAGGUUCUUUGUCUCUGACUGUGUGAGGGCCACCAGAUGCCUCCACCCAGAAAGGUCAGAUGUGGGAGAGUUCCAGAGUCAUUCCCCAACCCUGGAUGAGCUUCUGCAGCCUCAGUGCUACUCAGGUUCCAGCAAGACCUGGAGCAGGUGCAGCCCUGCGCUUGCUCCACAUCAGGCCCCAGGAGCUGCCAGCAUGUACCAGCCUGCCCUGCCACACAGUGUGCCUGCAACCUGUCCGGGGAUCCCAGGGAGGUG